AGAAAAGCUGAGGUUGUUCUCUCCCAUCUUCAUUCAAAGAUGAGAAAGAGAAGCUAGAAGGCGAUGGUCUCAGGUGCUUUAGGUCCGGUGAGAAGGGGAGCUGCAUCGGAGGCUAGGGUUUCGAGCAGGGGUUUACGUGCCGCCACCGCUUCAGCUCGGCCAGAUUUCCGAGGACUUGAAAGCUUACAGCGACAAUGAUUCUUAAUGGCCUCUUCCUAUGGCCAUCAAAGGCGCUUGUCCUUUGGGUCAGACCAGUGGUGAUGGUGUGGUGGUGGAUGACGGUUCCACCGUGACCGUGUGAUGGCGGUGGUAGGCUGGUACGACUGGGGUUCUAGGGUUGCUAUGGCAACCUCAGAUACUUGAAUUGGUGCUCCGGGGAAGUCGGCUAGGUUUCCAGCGUGAAUUCUGAGUGAUAUUGAAGAUUGAGUUUGUGUGACUUUUGUAUAAACACACGUUUCAAUAGAAGAUGAUGGGACUAAACCUGAAUCGAAACCAUCACAUAUAUCUCAAAGCUUGAAGGAGAGAAAGACAAAGGGAAGAUAGAUUUGUGGCAUAGAUAGGAGGUAGCAUGUACUUUUUCAGCAAAAUCGCAAAGGCGUAGGUGUAUAAUGCAUAUAUGCCAUGAACCUGAAUCUCGAGGUGUUAAUUGUGUACAUUGGGUCAUAUCAAGUACCAAAGUAGGCUUGAAAAUAAUGGGAACUUCUCUUCACUGAUGGAACAUUGUAUUGCAAGGUCAGUCAACAUACACGGAUGUUCAAAAUUGUUGGGCCAUUCACAAUUGCAGAUUACUCAAGGUAAAUCAGUACCCUCCUCCACCGGCCUUCAUUUCAUUAUUUUACAAACAUAGUGAUUCACAUAAAGGUUAGAUACAAUCAUGUGGUGUAUGAGGUUAUAAUGCAGGGUUUUAUCCGUCUUUCAUCACCAUCCAGAUGAUAAAAUUGCUGGUUCAACUGAUGUUGCCAUAUCAAGGAGAGAUAUUGGCAACCCAAAUCCAAGAAAAAGUACCUUUAUCUCUAUCCUAGCCAUAGAUACGCAGCAUGUUCGUUCUUCUAAAUCAGAUAUUAGAGAUGUAUAAGUAGAUAAUCAGGUCAAUUUGACCCCAUACGCUAAGAAAAGUAAAGGUCAAACUCCAGGUAUGGGGUCAAACAUUUUAGAUGACUGGAAGCCGAUGGUUCGAAGAUGAUAAAGAGCCUCCCAAAGGUGGUGGUGGAUGUGAAUGUGGUUAAGUGGAGCGACGACCGUGUUUAUGGAUUGACUAGGGUUCAUGUGAAGUUCCGACUUUUCUUCCGAUUGAAGUUCCGGAAAAAGAGGUGUCAUCAGCUGAACAUAACUCCUUUGGGUAGUGUUCUUUCUUCUUGAACAAUUAAGCAAUGUGCAUACGACUUCUAAACAAGAACAAUGCAGCAGCCCUAACAUACGAACCAGAGUCUACAAAAUGUCACACACUGGUAUGUUUCUUCUUUACUUAUAGCAUUUUUAUUUCAGUUGUCUUCUUUAUUGUUGCCUCUCAUACGACAGAAGUGGUAGAAGCAUACUCUUUUUGUUUAUAAUCUGUGUAAAAAAUCAAUUGUAAUUAUCUAAUGUGUUUUUUGUAUAACACUGGUGUGGGACACUUAUUAGAAACUUCUUUUAUUAUA